rnacentral:rRNA from 1 species
AGUGAACGCUGGCGGUAGGCCUAACACAUGCAAGUCGAACGGCAGCACAGUAAGAGCUUGCUCUUACGGGUGGCGAGUGGCGGACGGGUGAGGAAUACAUCGGAAUCUACUUUUUCGGGGGGGAUAACGUAGGGAAACUUACGCUAAUACCGCAUACGUCCUACGGGUGAAAGCAGGGGAUCUUCAGACCUUGCGCGAUUGAAUGAGCCGAUGUCGGAUUAGCUAGUUGGCGGGGUAAAGGCCCACCAAGGCGACGAUCCGUAGCUGGUCUGAGAGGAUGAUCAGCCACACUGGAACUGAGACACGGUCCAGACUCCUACGGGAGGCAGCAGUGGGGAAUAUUGGACAAUGGGCGCAAGCCUGAUCCAGCCAUACCGCGUGGGUGAAGAAGGCCUUCGGGUUGUAAAGCCCUUUUGUUGGGAAAGAAAAGCAGCAGGUUAAUACCCCGCUGUUCUGACGGUACCCAAAGAAUAAGCACCGGCUAACUUCGUG